AUUAGCUUUACCUUUAGCUUCUCUUAUAUGGCAAAUUAAAUUGGUUGCCGUAGGUUGAAGUUGAUUCUCAUUUCAGUAGCCGUAAAAAUGGGAGAAAGGAAAGGAAAAACGAAGAAAGAAUAUAUCUUUGAUUGGUAUUCACAGCAAGAUAAAAGUUUUAUCCAUCUACCAAUUAUUUAUUUAUUUAUUUUUUUUUAUGCUAAUGAGAGUUGUUUUACAUACCCUUUUGCUCAUUCUCUUCUUCUAAAAUUUUGGCUUGCAUCCCUAUGAAGAAUGAUGUUUAUAUGUAAAAGUAGUGGGCUAAUCUCCAUUGAAUUGAUGACAAACAAAUUCUGAGGGAUGCGCUUCUACCCAUUUGGUUCAUGUUUAUUAGCAUAUCUUUGCGAAAAGAUUUGUCUUACAACGUAGAUUUCAAAUUUCAAUAUUGGCUUAUGGUCUUUCAAUAUGGAACGGACCUGUUAGAUGCCUUUGUGGAGGGCUGUUAGUGUAACUCAGGAAAAUUCAUGGUUUUCUUUUUUUUUUGGGAAAAAAAGCGGAUUUUGAUAGUCAAGAUAUAUUACCAUUAACAAUGCCUGCACCUUUUUUUUUUUCCUAUAAUUUUUUCCCCUUCCUUUCAUCAUCUGCCAUUUGAAAUUUAUUUUGCAUCUCUAUGAGGAUUGGAUGUUAAUUAAAGUAGUGGACUGAUCCAUUGAUGAUUAAUCUAUUCUGAGGGAUGCCAAUGCUUCUUUAAGUUGGUUUGUGACUUAGUUGCACAAAGUUAAAUUGUGCUUUUGUGUAUUGUAUUUCAUUGCUAAUUGCCCCUUAUGAUCUAUGAUUGGAAAUGUGUGCUUUCUACUAGUGCAUAUGUUGCUCCAUCUCAAUGAUGGUGAUACUUGAGAAGAUUGAUUGUGUAGUAAUUUGUGCUAGCAAACUUGGUCAGAUUCUUUUUGUUAAUGUUUCAUCCAUAUUUGGAUCUAUCAUGGGGAUUAUAAUUGACAAAUAGAUAGCUUAAUAUGGGUUUAUAAUAGAUUUUUGCAUAUUUUAAGUAAAUCACUGCAGUGUGUCCUGCAACUACUCAGACUGGUAUGAUUAGCAAGUUUGCUGCAUAACAUAUAGUGCACAUAUCAGUGAUGGAUGUUAAUAGAAUUUAAAGUAGUGGACUGAACUCUAUUGAUGAUGCAACAAUUCUGAGUGAUUAUGAUGCACUUACUAGUUUAGUUGUCCUGAAAUUAAGCCUUUUGUCAAUCAGACUGGGCAUUGUUGUUUGUAAAUUGAAGUACCUGGGAUGUUUCUCAUCCUUAUUGGAGGCCUCUCUGUUUGUGGUAAAUACAGAUUGCGAUUUAUGCAGAGAUUGAAAUCAAAUGAUGAAUUUGGAUUAUAAAUUCUGAACAA